rnacentral:lncRNA from 1 species
AUGGCCGCGAGGAUGAGGAGGCCGGUGAAUGUCCUCGUUCACAGUGAGGGUCCUGCAUUUCCAGCACAUAAUACCGAGUACAGUACACGGAGCAGAGAAGCAAGGGGACCAGCAGGGGCUGAGCAGAAAAACAGACUAAAUGUUUUAACAGCUGCUCUUUUUUUCUUUACCUCUUUGGCCCAAGGAUCUGAUUUCCUUCUGAAGGGGUGGGCUUUCUAUGGGCCGCGGACUCUGCUCAGCAGGCCUGUUUACUCUGAGAAGCCGAGUUCUGGUUCCCUCUUCGACAAGAGCUUGCUUUUGAGGAGAAAAAAGGAGUGGUUAAAAAAAGGAGGAAGAGCAUCCGCGAGACUGUGUGCACCCUGAAUACAGCCUGUAAAAUUACCCCGUCCUGGCCAACGUAAGAAGGACAAUCAGCAAGUGGUCAUGAUUAUCAACAAGAAAUAAACAAUGAACAGAUUAGAGCCUACAAUAUUAAUCAGUCUUACUGCAAAUACACUGCACUUUGCCACUCCAAGAUGGCACACAUUAAACGUUCCAUUGUGGAUGAAUUCACAUCUACAGCUUUAAAGGAAGAGUCUGGAGAAGCAUAGCAGCUUCUGGGGCCUCUCCUCUUGGGUGAUGCUUUCCAUACACUUACAUGCUAGGCAUUCAAAAGAGAAGAAAGAAAGUGACAGGGUGUGAAUAAUCCUGGCGGGGAUUUUCCUGUGGCCCCCAAAUUUUGUAAACAUAACAAAAUUGUUUGGAAACAGUAGCAGCAACCACUAGCCCCAAUCAAAAUCAUUUCUGGUAGUGAAUCAUUUCAAAAUAUAUCUGUUAUUGAUGAACAGUGCUC